GUCCAGCAGCCCACCUAUCACCUACUUCCAGGAUGGCGGGGCUGUGUGUCUCGCCCUCCGAGUAGAGCCUCCCAUGACCAGCUGCCUGCACUGACCCCACUGGUGGUCUAGCUGGCGAAGUCCUUCUGCCUUGAAGCCUCGCUCAGUCCGUCCAAAGCAUCCAUGAGAAUGAAGAAGACCUUGUCAACAGUCACGACACAGGUUUGUCAUGGAAAUUCCCUGGUAGCUCAGUCAGUGAAGAGUCUGCUUGCAGUGCAGGAGACCCGGGUUCAAUCCCUGAGUCAGGAAGAUCCCCUGGAGAAGGAGAUGGCAACCGACUCCAGUAUUCUUGCCUGGAAAAUCCCAUGGCCAGAGGAGCCUGGCAGGCUACAGUCCACGGGGUCGCAAGAGUCAGACACGACUGAGCAACUAAACCACCACCAGGGUUCAAACCUGCACUCCCUGCAUUGGAAGGCGAAGUCUCAACCACUGGACCACCAGGGAAGUCCCACAGACGUUUGUUUUUAAUGGUUCCCUCAGUUGCUGCUUCUCAGCCGCACUGAGAGGGAAAGAAAGCCAGCUUAUCACCAGGUAGCCCAUGGCCCCUGCAAGCCAGUGAGCAGAGAAAGGCCCACCUGUUGAUCCUAAAUUCAAAUCAUCCUGGAGCGAGACAACCUACAAUUAAAUCCCAGUGCUGACACUCUGCGUCCUCACAAGUUACUUGGUUCAUUUCCCCAACUGUACGAUGGCUAUGUGAGGAGUAAAUGAAAUACACAUGGAAAGCCUUUCGACAUCCCUGGCAGGUGGUAAAG
ensembl:lncRNA